rnacentral:rRNA from 1 species
AACGCUGGCGGCGUGCUUAACACAUGCAAGUCGAACGGAAAGGNCGCUUGCAGGGUCCNCAAGUGGCGAAAGGGUGAGUAUCACGUGGGUGAUCUGCCCUGCGCUUCGGGAUAAGCCUGGGAAACUGGGUCUAAUACCGGAUAUGAUCCCUUUUUAGUGUGAAGGUUGGAAAUUUUGGCGGUGUGCGAUGAGCUCGCGGCCUACCACCUUGUUGGUGGGGUAAUGGCCUGCCACGGCGGCCACGGGUAACCAGCCUUGAGACGGUGGAAGGGGGCAUUGGGACUGAUAUGAGUCCAAACUCCU